CAUCAAACAAACUUAACAGUAAAAAAAGGAGACACAAAUCAAUUAAAGUUUUACACUCGUUUGCAUUUAAUACCAGACAUAUAAUUAUACAGAACAUAAAAAGUUAAUUACACAUAGAAUGUAGAUAAAGCAAACAUCUUAAAAAGGAAAAAAAAUCUCAAUGUACAAUACUCACAUAUCAAAAUCUGGUAUACUACAAUAACUACUAUUAAUCAUCUGGUUUUGUCUUUGUAGCACAUACUUUUCUAUUUUCUAAUAGAUUCAAAUUAAGAUCAUGUGAUAACAGAGAGAAAAGGAGCAAAUACAAUGAGUGCUUAAACAGAGAAAUGUGAUUCAUAAUUCAGCUCAAAUAGGAUGAGAUCAUUUUCUGAAAAUGACUCUUGAUGAAAAAAAGAAAUAGCAAAAAUAGUUGAUACAGAGAUCUUGCUGGGCAGGUGAAUAAGAAAUAGAAGUGACACAACUGAGUUUGACAUGAAACAUUCAACAUGGUGAAGACAUGCAAGAAUUAUGAAAAAAAUUACUAUAUUAUGAUCUAUUUUGUCUUUUAUGCUACGAGUAUUAUCAUAAUUAUAUGGCUUCCCAAGAUAAUAUGUUUGUAUGGUAUUGAAAAAGGGCAUUUGGUAAUACUUGUCAUGGCCUUUAUCUGUAAUUAAUGAUAAUAAUAAUGAAGUUGAUGAGAAUCCUGGAAAAAUCAAAUAAGCUAAUGCCUGAUAUGCUUGGAGGCAUGAUUUAGAAAAAUUGUUUUUCGAUUUUUCUUUCGCUCCAAUAUUGCAAAUCUUGAGUCAUUUCACCAAAAAUGGGUGGUAAAAAACUGUUGAAAAACAAAUUACGCGAUAAAAGGGGACAAGAAAUGUGCAGAAUAUUUUCGAUUGAAACACUUGUUUUCAUAACAAUUGACAUACCACACUGAAUAAUCAGCAACAUAGAAUCAAGCAACUUAAAAAGUAGAAAGACAAAGUAAAUAAUCUAGAUGCAGAAAACAAUUUUUGCAUUGAUGGAAAAAUAAUAAUUGGAAGGCAUAGUGAUAACGAGAAGUAACCACCAUAUUAAUUGACAUGAUGUUUGCAAAUACUGAUGACAGAAUGAGAAAUAACUUCUAAUAAAUGUUUCAUCCAAGAAAGUAAGGUGUCUAAAGGGAGACAUUAAAGAGUAAAUGGAUAAUCUGAAGAAAAAAAGAGCUUAUGCUGAGGGAGGGAGAUUGUGUUCCAAAUAGUAAGAAUGGUUUUCUCUUUAACCAUCAUGGCCCAUCAUAUAAAGACUUCUUAAAAAAAUACCAAAAUACAAAACUUCUACAACAUAUUUACCAUCGACUAAUGGUAAUAAAAACCUGGACUCACUGAACUUUUCCUCUGUGAGAUCUUUCUUAAAUCCUGAAAUACAUGUAUAGCAAUGAGGCAAAAAAAAAAAGAACCCCCCCCAAAAAAAAAAAAAAACACUGCAAAGUGGACAGAUGGUAGUCAACAGGGUAUACAGGAAAUAACUUAUCUGUCAAUGAAGAGUAUUAAAGAUUUUUAUUGUACCAGAAUUUGGGAAUAUGAUGUAUUAUUAUGAGGACAUAUAACAAGAAUCUAAAAUAUUUAUUUGAAAUCAAUUUACUGUAAUAUGUAAUUAAUAGUGAACUCAGUCAGAUUUUAGUAUUACAGACUAGAAAAUGUACUUUAAGCUUCUAUCAGAGAUACCCCCCCCUGCAGAUUGACAAACCAUUUUACAUACAACUAUGAUGUAAAGUGGCACUUUUUCAUCUUUAGGAUGCUAAUACACUAUAUGUAUCUCAAUCAAAUAAAUAACACACAAGAGAUUAGAGAUGGCAAAAUGUAUCACUCAUUUGCACAUUCUAGAGAAAUAAUAAGAGGAGAAGUUUGCAUGCCAGCAUGAACAACACAUUCAGUGAAAAAAUACAAAUAAACUCAUUCUACAAAAAAGAAGGAAAAUCAAAUUAAAGGAAUGCAGGUUGAAUGAUAGAAUAGGAAUAUAUUCCUACAGAGAUACUAUAAUAUACAUGCACAUGAACAUUGAGUAGAAUAAUGAGUUCAUUGUAGGUGAAAUAGUUAAAAAUAUAAAUGAUUUUUGUUACCCCAUCGGUACACUUCUCUGUUAUGCAUCUAACUACAAAAAGUGUAUAUGAUCACUGAUAUGUACACUCAAGUAUUUGUGUAUUUUUUUUCAUGCUCCCUUUGUCUGACAUAUUUCAGUUUCUGAAUGAAGUGUUGAUCACAUCAAUGUUGCAUGUGAAAAUAUAUUUCAAACCAUUUAAAUCACUGCUUUUGCCACAUGUAAAUAGCAUGAUCUGUUGAUGGCAAUAUAUAUAUAUUCUCAGUGAUAAGCUUUAACCAAAACAAUCCUUCCUUUAAUUUUGAAUACAUCAUUGGCAUGAAAAGAGGAAAUGAAAAGAAUCCCUUUCAAUUACAAUUAAAAUUUAGAUUAAAAAGUAGUCAAAAAGACCACUACUUAAUAUCCCAAUGAAUACCAUUUCAAAUGAUUCUAUUUUAUAAGCUGCAUAGAGUUAUCGCUUUGUUUCAUUUAUAAAGAAAUAAUUCUGACUUUGACAUACAAAAACCUGUUACAUUUUUUAGGUAAGAAAGAUAUCCACUGGUUGUAAAGGCGAAGUUGGUUAUUACGAGGCAAUACAACUCAUUUCUGCCAUUCAUAACCGUAUAUUAAUUACUUUUUAUUCAGAAACUCAAAUAAAACUCAAUAGUCUUACCCCUAUUACACAGCAGCCCUAAAUAGAGUAAAAAAAACACACCAUAGACAUUCUUCUCAUCCACCUCAAUCUGUUUGAGAUAUUUCAUGCAAACAAAUCCUCCAAGUUAAGAUUACUAUACACAUACUUUUGUGAUAAAAAAGAAACUUAUAGAAUAGAUUACAGGUGGCCAAUGGUAAUAUAUCAAUUAGAACAUUAAUAUACAGUUGUGUGAUUUGUACAUUUUAUACAAAUGUGUAAACUUCUCUAUAUUACAUACAACCCAAAUCACUUGGGUCAGUGGUGUCUGCUCAGGACAAUAAAAUUCUGUACACAAAAUUCAAUUCUUUCUCUACAGCCCGUCAGCCAUUAGUACGGCACUAACCGACAUCUUAACAUAGAGUAUUCAUAUCGUCUCAAAAUUCAAAUUGAUCUAUAGUUAAGAUCUAAUCAAUAUAAUCAAAGGCAAGGCAUUCAUUAGAACCCUGACGGGUUGAGUUUCCAACAAUCAAAUUUAAUGCAAACCAUCAAAAAAAACCCUUUCUUACUACACACCUGUAGAGUGUCAAACUUCUAAAAAAAAGGUGAUGUAAAUAAUGCCUACAAGUAAAUUAAUUACUAAAAAAGUUUUGUUUACAAAUGACUUAUCAAAUGUUUCUACAGUGCAAAUGUGUUUUUAGAUUGUUUUAAGACAGAACCAAUAACUUGUUAAUUUUAGUUGACUGGCAAAAUAUAUGUAAAGCUAGAUGUAGACUGCAAAUUCUGUAGCACUCGGUAUGCUUGACUCUAAGUGUUUGACAGACAUAUCACAGCGCAGUAAAACAUACUAUGAAUUACAACACAGAGGCUUGUAAUAGUUUGUUAUUCAAAUUAUUUCAACGGAAAGCAUGAGCUUUGAGCUUUUUCUAGAGCUCACAUUGGAACAUUUUCUACAUGAUAUAACUCGUUUGAGAUGUCUUCAAAUUCUGCAUGAUUGAGGGAAUUGUUGCGUGCUCAUAUAAAUGAGAACCAUUCUAAAUGAUGUUCACGGAAAUACAACACCAUGAAUUUUCUAUGUGACACGUAUCCCAAUUGCUCAGGGAUGGAUGUCUGAUAGCAUGACUACACAUUGUUUCAUUCAUCUGUAUGGAUCUUACCCUGACAGAAAUCUAGGCAUGCUCCAAGCUUGUAACUAGCUGAUGGUUCACUUUAUUUGAAAAUGAAAAUUACAUAGUCUUGACAACAUUGAUUAAUUAUUUCUCAGCAUGCCUAACACAAGCUUAUCAAAUCAUCUGCUUGCUAGUCACUAGCUAGCAAGUAAUUAGUGACUUGCUAGUGGGUUGCUGUAAAUUUCUGUGCGGGUAAUACACGAACAUGUAAAAACAAAGCAUCAUUCCUGACUGGGACAAACAUUUCUUUGCAGCAAAAACCAAUAGAGAUUAGAUAAGAAUAGUUUCACUCUACUCAUGGUAUGUCUUUAAAAUAUUCUUUACGCACAGACUCCAUUCUAAAAGAAGAGAAAAGACAACACUGUUACAUGUUUAAGGGAAGGGGGUAGGGUAAGAUAACAAAAACAAAACAGAAUUAAAGGGCAAGUCUACAUAUUCAAACGGUUGAUUUAAAUGAAAAUAGGAAAAUCACACUCGCAUAAUGGUGAUAAAUUAAUAAAAAUCAGAUGCAAACUUACAAAGUUAUGACAGUUUGAAGGUUUCUUUUAAUUUCACAAAACAGCUAUUUCACAACCUCGUUGGUAUUAAAAAUAAGGAACUGAUGAAGAUAAAAAUUCACUUUUUUGUAUCUUAUUAUAUAAAAUAUUCUUUUAAUUUUGUCCUCAUUAAAAUGUAAAACAAGGCUUGAACCCUGUUUUAAAAAGUGGGAACGCCGAAAUGAAUGUUGCAACCUAUUGUGAUUCGUCAAGACAUUUCCUUAAUGUUAAAUCUACAAAAAAUGAAAUAUACUAUAUUUCA
rnacentral:lncRNA from 1 species